rnacentral:rRNA from 1 species
UGGGGAAUUUUGGACAAUGGGGGCAACCCUGAUCCAGCCAUGCCGCGUGAGUGAAGAAGGCCUUCGGGUUGUAAAGCUCUUUCGGUGGGAACGAAACGGAUGCGGCCAACACCUGCAUUCAAUGACGGUACUCACAGAAGAAGCACCGGCUAACUACGUGCCAGCAGCCGCGGUAAUACGUAGGGUGCGAGCGUUAAUCGGAAUUACUGGGCGUAAAGCGUGCGCAGGCGGUUUCACAAGCUCGAUGUGAAAGCCCCGGGGCUUAACCUGGGAAUUGCAUUGAGGACUGUGGAGCUAGAGUGCGGCAGAGGGAGGUGGAAUUCCACGUGUAGCAGUGAAAUGCGUAGAGAUGUGGAGGAACACCGAUGGCGAAGGCAGCCUCCUGGGCCGACACUGACGCUC